UCUCCGUAGGUGAACCUGCGGAGGGAUCAUUACAGAGUUCAUGCCCUACCGGGUAGAUCUCCCACCCUAUGUUAUUAUCACUUUGUUGCUUUGGCGGGCCGUUAGGCUCCGGCCCGACUACCGGCCCCGGCUGGUAAGCGCCCGCCAGAGGACCCAAAACCCUGAAUAUUAGUGUCGUCUGAGUACUAUAUAAUAUUUAAAACUUUCAACAACGGAUCUCUUGGUUCUG
rnacentral:misc_RNA from 1 species